CCUACGGGAGGCAGCAGUGGGGAAUAUUGGGCAAUGGGCGCAAGCCUGACCCAGCAACGCCGCGUGAAGGAAGAAGGCUUUCGGGUUGUAAACUUCUUUUAAGAGGGAAGAGCAGAAGACGGUACCUCUUGAAUAAGCCACGGCUAACUACGUGCCAGCAGCCGCGGUAAUACGUAGGUGGCAGGCGUUGUCCGGAUUUACUGGGUGUAAAGGGCGUGCAGCCGGGAAGACAAGUCAGAUGUGAAAUCCCGGGGCUUAACCCCGGAACUGCGUUGGAAACUGUGCGGCUGGAGUGCAGGAGGGGUAAGCGGAAUGCCUGGUGUAGCGGUGAAAUGCGUAGAUAUUAGGAGGAACACCGGUGGCGAAGGCGGCUUACUGGACUGUAACUGACGUUGAGGCUCGAAAGCGUGGGGAGCAAACAGGAUUAGAUACCCGAGUAGUC
rnacentral:rRNA from 1 species